GGACUCGUAGUGUAGUUUGGAAACAUGCGUGCUUGGGGUGUACGUGAUCGAGGGUUCAAAUCCCCCCGAGUCCA
rnacentral:tRNA from 1 species